rnacentral:rRNA from 1 species
CACGUAGGGUGCGAGCGUUGUCCGGAUUCAUUGGGCGUAAAGGGCUAGUAGGCGGCUUGGCAAGUCGGGUGUGAAAUUUCCAGGCUCAACCUGGAACCGCCAUCCGAUACUGCCAUGGCUAGAGUCCGGUAGGGGACCACGGAAUACCUGGUGUAGCGGUGAAAUGCGCAGAUAUCAGGUGGAACACCGAUGGCGAAGGCGGCUCUCUGGGACGGUACUGACGCUGAGACGCGAAAGCGUGGGGAGCGAACAGG